UGAAUACGAGACGCUACGGCGUCGAAGCAGUCGAUGUCAUACUUCCAAGAAAAGCUUGCACUGUCAUAAACAAAGAAUGCCUGUACCAUAACCGACACAGGUGGGUAGGUAGAGUAUACUAAGGGGCGCGAGAUAACUCUCUCUAAGGAACUCGGCAAAAUGACUCCGUAACUUCGGGAGAAGGAGUGCCUUAUUUAUAAGGUUGCAAUAACAAGAUCCAAGCAACUGUUUUCCAAAAACACAGGUCUCCGCUAAGUCGUAAGACGAUGUAUGGGGGCUGACGCCUGCCCAGUGCCAGAAGGUUAAAGAAGUUGGUUAGCAUUUGCGAAGCUGAUAACUGAAGCCCUGGUGAACGGCGGCCGUAACGAUAACGGUCCUAAGGUAGCGAAAUUCCUUGUCGGGUAAGUUCCGACCCGCACGAAAGGCGUAAUGAUUUGGAUACUGUCUCAGAGAGGGGCUCGGUGAAAUAGACUUGUCUGUGAAGAUGCGGACUACCUGCACCAGGACAGAAAGACCCUAUGAAGCUUUACUGUAACCUGAAAUUGAAAUUGGACUUUAUUUGCGCAGUAUAGGUGGGAGGCGUUGAGAAUUUUCUUGCGGGAAGAUUGGAGCCAUCAGUGAGAUACCACUCUUGUAAUGUUAGAUUUCUAACUUUGAAUCAUGAUCUGGUCAAAGAACAGUUUCAGGCGGGCAGUUUGACUGGGGCGGUCGCCUCCCAAAUGGUAACGGAGGCGCACAAAGGUUUCCUCUGAACGGGUAGAAAUCGUAUCUAGAGUGUAAAGGCAUAAGGAAGCUUGACUGUGAGACCUACAAGUCGAGCAGGGACGAAAGUCGGUCUUAGUGAUCUGACGGUGCUGAGUGGAAAGGCCGUCACUCAACGGAUAAAAGUUACUCUAAGGAUAACAGGCUGAUCUCCCCCAAGAGUUCACAUCGACGGGGAGGUUUGGCACCUCGAUGUCGGCUCAUCGCAUCCUGGGGCGGUAGUACGUCCCAAGGGUUGGGCUGUUCGCCCAUGAAAGCGGUACGCGAGCUGGGUUCAGAACGUCGUGAGACAGUUCGGUCCAUAUCCGGUGUAGGCGUUAGAAUAUUGAGAGGAGCCUUCUUUAGUACGAGAGGACCGAGAAGGACAUACCUCUGGUGUACCAGUCAUCGUGCCAACGGUAAACGCUGGGUAGCUAUGUAUGGAGAGGAUAACCGCUGAAAGCAUCUAAGUGGGAAGCCCACCUCAAGAUAAGUAUUC
rnacentral:rRNA from 1 species